GGCAAACCCACUGUGGCCGCCAGUCUGCCACUCCCAGUUCUUCGUCCCCUCUGCUGGCCUGCCCAGGGGACCUAUGAGGAGUGCGCUGCUCCCCAUCCUGGCUCUUUGGCUGGAGUGCUGCUCUUGGGGGGCCCUGGCCAAGCAGGAGCUGUGCCUGACAGAGCCCACAGCUCUGCUGACCCCCACGGGCUUGCCUACCCUGCAGCUGCUGCCCAGGUCCUUCAACAACAGUCAGGCGCAACCCAUCCCCAGGACCGGCAGUCGUGACAGCCCUGAGGACUGGCAGCCGGACUGGCAGCAGGCCUGGCCUGGCUCCCAGGACAGACCCACCAGAACCCCCUCCGGCCCUCCACCCCCAACCGGAGAGCAUCUGUCAGGCCAGGGCUGGCUCUGAGGAAGCAGUCACACGCACUGGCCUUGGGGAAGGAGUGGGGGCUGAGCCGGGGGGCGCUGGGCAUGGAGUAGGAAAGCUGGGGCGGAAAGGCAGGAGGCCAGGAAGCCAGGAGGAGGGGCCUCAAGCCCAGGAGGCCCCCAAGGUGAGGACUGGCCACGACAGGCGCGGUGUCAGCAGCGCUGAGGUCCUGCUCCAUUCUCAGUGUGCACGAACCAAGGGUCCUCACAUGGGGGCCAGCGGGGACCCCUCCAAAGGCAUGUCACUUCUCUGCCUGUAGCUGGCAAGCCCCUGCCCUUCAGGGUUCCUUUGUUACAUGUGACUAGGCCAGGGCCCCUCUGUCUUCCUCCAGGGACCUCCUACCCAUCCAGGCUGGGGGCCAAGUACCAGCAGAAGGAGCGAAGCAAAGGCUGUGGGCAGGAAAGACUGGGAAACAGAAGAGAGCACGGGCCUGGGCUUGUAGACCCAGGCACUGCAGAGCAGGCCAUGCCCUCCCUGCCGGCCUCGUGCCUCCUGGCCCAGGCGGCCCUGGCCUGAGUCGACGCCAAGAUGAAGCAGGUUCCUGCCCUAACUGACCCUGACCUGACUAGACGCUACUUGGCAGGGCUCAGCCAGCUGCUGACACUGGAGGUGGAAGGGAACCAGCUGCAUGAUGGAAACAUCUCCCCCCUGGCCUUCCAGCCCCUCCACAGGCUUCUCUACCUGAGGCUGGACCGGAAUCGGCUUUGGGCCAUCCCUCCUGGCCUGCCAGCCUCCCUGCAGGAGCUGCACUUGGGCGCCAACCUCAUCGAGGAGGAGACUGAGUGAGCACUGAGUGGCUGCCACAGCCUCAGCGUGCUGGUCCUCAGCAACAACUGGCUCCAGGAGGGCCGCCUGGUGCCCGGGGCUUGGACUGAUCCGCCCCUCCACCCUGUUCGUGUGUCUCUGGCUUCUCUGGC
ensembl:lncRNA